rnacentral:rRNA from 1 species
ACCCGCUGAACUUAAGCAUAUCAAUAAGCGGAGGAAAAGAAACCAACAGGGAUUGCCUCAGUAACGGCGAGUGAAGCGGCAACAGCUCAAAUUUGAAAUCUGGCUCCUUCGGGGUCCGAGUUGUAAUUUGUAGAGGGUGCUUCGGCUUACGGCGCGGUCUAAGUUCCUUGGAACAGGACGUCACAGAGGGUGAGAAUCCCGUACGUGGCCGCGCUCUCCGCCAUGUGAAGCCCCUUCGACGAGUCGAGUUGUUUGGGAAUGCAGCUCUAAAUGGGAGGUAAAUUUCUUCUAAAGCUAAAUACUGGCCAGAGACCGAUAGCGCACAAGUAGAGUGAUCGAAAGAUGAAAAGCACUUUGGAAAGAGAGUUAAAAAGCACGUGAAAUUGUUGAAAGGGAAGCGCUUGCAGCCAGACUUGCCUGUAGUUGCUCAUCCGGGUUUUUACCCGGUGCACUCUUCUAUAGGCAGGCCAGCAUCAGUUUGGGCGGUUGGAUAAAGGUCUCUGUCAUGUACCUCUCUUCGGGGAGAACUUAUAGGGGAGACGACAUGCAACCAGCCCGGACUGAGGUCCGCGCAUCUGCUAGGAUGCUGGCGUAAUGGCUGU